AUGCCAGCUAGGAUUCAGUGGAGUCUCUGGGGUCCAAAUUGGGCAUUACUGCUAAAGAGGACAACGACAAGGACAAAGAUGUGCCUACCAGAAGAAGUGAUAGGAACUUGGACAAAAAAGAUGCUAGGAUUGAAGAUUUGGCCAAGGAAAGAGCUGCUGACAAGGAUAAUUAUGGCUAGAAGAAAUUUAUAUCUCCAAAACAUUAAAAACCAAGAAGAGGAGGAAAGAACAAAAAGCUCUCCAAGUCCUAUUGACAUUGGAGAUGCUGUGUUAGAGGAUUUAUGUUUGGGGGAUGACCACUCUGAUGCAGAGUUGGAAUUGGAUUACUAUGAUAAUUUGGAAAAAAAUCUUUUCUAG
rnacentral:rRNA from 1 species